CCACAGAGAGUUUUAUUUACAAACAUAUUACAUAUUAUUAACUGAUCAAAAUCCACAAUGUAACAUUGAUUAUACUCAGUAUUUUUGAGUCAUUUAUCCCAGCAUGACAGCUCCUGGCAAUACUCCACAGGAAAACUUUUGUGUAGGUUACCACUUCCACAUCUUCUCAUCAAGAAUAUAGCCCAGGCUUCAACCACAUGAAGCCAGUCAGUCAGAGGCCACUGGCAUUUUAUGCCUGACCUCGUUAUUGCUUAAUAAAACAUCUUCCUGUUUUGGAAAACACUUGGCUAUUCAAAGUACAAGCAGAGACCCUAGUAGUCCCUUCAAGUAGCCUCACUGCGAAAUACAGCUCAAGGGAAAAGUAUACUGAAGGUUUAAUAACAAACAUAUUUAGAAAACAGUAAUCACAUGGGAAACCACAUAUUUCAUCAUGUAACUCUAUGCAAGGAUUUUUGUUACAGAACAAUUACUAAAUCAAAGUGUUGAUUAUUGAGAGACUUCUUUUAUGACUAAAUGUUCUCCUUAAUAAGAUUACUUAUAAGACCUACACAAAAUAUAAACAUUAUCAGACAGCUCUGUCUACAAACAGCCUCUGAAUAUCCCUAAAAAAAUUCAAUAAAUUCUUCUCCAAAUUUAUUACAAGGCCCUGUCCAUUGAGAAGUUAAUUUUUGUUUUUCCCCUGAGAGACUGCUUACGGCAAAUUUGACUGUAUUUCCUUUCCUUCUGGUAUUGACUUGUAAUAAAAGAAAAACAUUUUUCCCUCUUUACUGCAUUUUCCAAAAUUACAUCAGUGCCCAUCCACUUCAAACAAUUUCUACCAAAGAUUUUGUCCAGCUGUGUAAACAAAAAGGUUUUGCAUAUAUUUCAUUGAGCAUUUUGUACCUUUUUUUCUAUAGGGAAAUAUUAAGGCAACACCUCCUUCCACUACUCAGAUGAAUAAUUAUUUACAUGUUUAAACUGAGGUAUAGGUGCUGUCACUGUUAGCAGAAGUUAAGAAAAACAUUCCAGUGUAAUGAACUUGCAACCUUACAUGGAAAUAGGGCAUUAGUAUGCAACACAUACAUGUCCCCGAAACAAUAAAUACUGAUUAAACAAAAGGAAACUGCUCCUGCUGAUACACCUGUCAUAAAGAGAAAUAUGAGCAGCACAGUGUAUCUUAGCUUGUUCUCUUUUUCAGCAGGUUAAACACAGAUCAUUCCCAAAGUCGAUAAACAGAUUUCCUGAGUGCACAGCUAUUCCCAAACAAGUAGCAACUCAGGCAGCAAAUGCGGUGCCCCUAAAAGAAAGCUGUUUUCAUCCCCAGCUGCUGAGGGCGUGCACUUUGAAUACGCUUAGAAUGAAGCUUUAAGCAUAGACUUUGGGGUUUUGUUUUCUUAAUUAAAACCAUAAAAUCCAAGGAAACAAACGCAAUAUGAGCCAUUCUUUUUCUUUGGUGCUCUAAGCAGAUUUUGUUUAAAGCUGUAUUGGACUCCAUUUGAUGUUAAGGAAAGGAACCCCUCUUCCUGAGGACAAGAUGAGGCAGGGUGGGUAUGGGAAGUGUGCCGCUGUUUAUGGAUUGGUCUCAGCAGCUCAGGUUCCUUUUUUUUUUCUUUUAAGGACAUAAAGACAGCUGAAAAUAAGUUGACAAUACAGAGGAAAGACCUC
ensembl:lncRNA